rnacentral:misc_RNA from 1 species
GCCUUGGUGGCUUGGAACUCUUGCAGACCGGACCUGAUGGAACGAAAGCGGCUGUUGCUGAUGCUAGUGGUAAAGGAACGCCACUUGAGAAUUUGGUAACUAAGACUGAAAUGAAGGGUCCCGAAAUGUAUAUCGUAGAACAAAUUAGUGCAGAGUUCAGAGAAUCGCUGUUGGCAAGAGUAGGAAUGAUGGGAGUUGUAUAU